rnacentral:rRNA from 1 species
UUCAAUUGGAGAGUUUGAUCCUGGCUCAGAACGAACGCUGGCGGCGUGCCUAACACAUGCAAGUCGAGGGAGAAAGCCGCAAGGCGAGUAAACCGGCGAACGGGUGCGUAACACGUGGAUAAUCUACCUUCCUGACUGGGAUAACUGGCCGAAAGGCUUGCUAAUACCAGAUAAGCCCACGGCGUCCAUGGACGCUGAGGGAAAAGGUGGCCUCUGCAUGCAAGCUAUCGCAGGGAGAUGAGUCCGCGGCCCAUCAGCUAGUUGGCGGGGUAAAAGCCCACCAAGGCUACGACGGGUAGCUGGUCUGAGAGGAUGAUCAGCCACACUGGAACUGAGACACGGUCCAGACUCCUACGGGAGGCAGCAGUGGGGAAUCUUGCGCAAUGGGCGAAAGCCUGACGCAGCAACGCCGCGUGUGUGAUGAAGGUCUUCGGAUCGUAAAGCACU